rnacentral:lncRNA from 1 species
GCUCAGCAGGGGUUGCUUGGAGAGAACAUUGAUCCAGGCGAGAAGACUGGAUAUAUUCUUUAGGGUGAGGGCGGCGGGUGGAUAUGAGAGUACGGAUACUGCGGGUAAAAGAACUGGGACGUUUGUAUAGGUGGUAAGGGCUGAGGAGAGGGUAAGAAGAUUCACUGAUUUGGGCGGAUUCAGGGAUGUAGGAGUAUUCUACAAGAUUUUCAAUUUUAUUAGUGGUAUGAGAAGAGCAAGAUUUGGGCAAAGAAAGAGUAGAAGAAAGAGUAACAGGAGGUGAAGAGGAAGUGGAAGCCAUGAAUGAGAAAUUCUCUCUGCGCCUGAAGUUCUAGAGAGCAAAAUAGAAAAAGCCUUAAAUUAUACCAUUUUGGGCAGGAAAACGUUGAUUUAGAAAACAUGAAAGUUUCAAGGAGGGGUAUGGCUCUGAUACCAUUUGAAAUUAAGGAAGUAUCCUCUGCACUUGCCUGUCAUAAGGAUCCUAUGCAUCAGAAAACUUUUAAAGAUUUUUAUCUGGUUUGGUACCCUGUUUUAAGACAAAAGAGUCUGUUUUGGGUUGAAUAACCUCAAAUGAAAAUGUUUUAAGUUUUCUGUUUUUCCAUCUAAAUAUAUCGGCUGGAAACCCAAUAAGGCAUGAUUUUGAAGCCUAUAGACCAAUUGGUGGUGCAAGGUGGCAAUUUUGGCAGAAGAAAUUUGUUCAGCACCUUGAAUUUGGACUUGAACCUUUAAGGUUGUGGGCAAGUUGGGAUCUUGGAGAGAAAGGUUGAAGUUUGGGUAAAAGGUAAGUAAAACACUUCCUGCAUGGAGGGUUGUAAGGACAGUGCCAAUAACAGCAUCGUGGUACUAUUUAAAUCGGGUAUCAAGCAUAGCAAGGCGGGCUGUAACCGGUAAUCCUUUUCUACUAUGAAGAGUAAGGAUUAAUCUGAUGCCUCCAAGAUGAAGAUGAGUGUAACCUUCUCGUUUCCAAUUGGAAAUUAACUCUGAAGGUAUUUCGAGAGUGACAUAUUGCUCAGCAGGGGUUGCUUGGAGAGAACAUUGAUCCAGGCGAGAAGACUGGAUAUAUUCUUUAGGGUGAGGGCGGCGGGUGGAUAUGAGAGUACGGAUACUGCGGGUAAAAGAACUGGGACGUUUGUAUAGGUGGUAAGGGCUGAGGAGAGGGUAAGAAGAUUCACUGAUUUGGGCGGAUUCAGGGAUGUAGGAGUAUUCUACAAGAUUUUCAAUUUUAUUAGUGGUAUGAGAAGAGCAAGAUUUGGGCAAAGAAAGAGUAGAAGAAAGAGUAACAGGAGG